CCUACGGGUGGCAGCAGUGGGGAAUAUUGGGCAAUGGGCGCAAGCCUGACCCAGCAACGCCGCGUGAAGGAAGAAGGCUUUCGGGUUGUAAACUUCUUUUGUCAGGGAAGAGUAGAAGACGGUACCUGACGAAUAAGCCACGGCUAACUACGUGCCAGCAGCCGCGGUAAUACGUAGGUGGCAAGCGUUUUCCGGAUUUACUGGGUGUAAAGGGCGUGUAGGCGGGUUGACAAGUCAGAGUUGAAAUCCUGCGGCUUAACCGCAGAACUGCAUUUGAAACUGUUGAUCUUGAGUACUGGAGAGGCAGACGGAAUUCCUAGUGUAGCGGUGAAAUGCGUAGAUAUUAGGAGGAACACCAGUGGCGAAGGCGGUCUGCUGGACAGCAACUGACGGUGAGGCGCGAAAGCGUGGGGAGCAAACAGGAUUAGAUACCCUUGUAGUC
rnacentral:rRNA from 1 species